rnacentral:lncRNA from 1 species
ACAAAUACCGUCUCAGCCAAGAUGUCUAAGUGAACACCAUAGCAUGACUAUGGUUCAAGCUUGGGACACACAUUGGCAAGAUUUAAAUAAAGAAAAGCUGAAAGAAUGGAAAAGAAGAAGGCAUUUGGUAUUACAAGGAAACUCGAUAAUUGGUGAGUCUAAGCCGGGUAGAGAAUACAUGAAUUGGUUUUUAUCAAUUCCUUUUAUGCACGUUGCUCUGACACAGUUUUUGAAUGAUCCUCGUCAACGUGUAGCUUCUUCAACCCAACAAACAACAUCACCCCCACAACAACAUAACCAACCAUCAUCCUCAGCUCAACAAACUUACCAACACAUCCAAACC